UUCCUCCCACCGAACCCAAAGCUCUCCCUCUCUUCUCCCUCAAACUAAAGAUUUCUCUCAAAUCUCUCUUCCCACCAAUUUUCACCCUUCAAAUCGUCCGUUUAGGAACCAACUUCCUCUCCUCUUUCUUUCUCAUUUGGUCAAUUCGAGCUUGCCCUAGAUUCUACCUCUCAUCUCCAAAUCGACACUUCACCUCUCCAAAAUCUUGGCUUUUCCAUUAG
rnacentral:lncRNA from 1 species